GACGAACGCUGGCGGCGCGCUUAACACAUGCAAGUCGAGCGAGAACCAGACCUUCGGGUCUGGGGACAGCGGCGAACGGGUGAGUAACACGUGGGUAAUCAACCCUCGGUACUGGGAUAGCCCGGGGAAACCCGGAUUAAUACCGGAUGGCCCUUCGGAUCUUCGGUUCUGAAGGAAAAGGUAGCUUCGGCCUCCGACCGAGGACGAGCCCGCGGCGGAUUAGCUUGUUGGUGGGGUAACGGCCUACCAAGGCGGCGAUCCGUAGCUGGUCUGAGAGGACGCUCAGCCACACUGGGACUGAGACACGGCCCAGACUCCUGCGGGAGGCAGCAGUGGGGAAUCUUGCGCUAAUGCGGGAAACCGUGACGCAGCGACGCCGCGUGAGGGAAGAAGGCCUUCGGGUUGUAAACCUCUUUCAGGAGGGACGAAGCUACUCGGGUUAAUAGCCCAGAGGGUGACGGUACCUCCAGAAGAAGCCCCGGCUAACUACGUGCCAGCCGCCGCGGUAACAC
rnacentral:rRNA from 1 species